AUGAAGAAAAUGUUAUACAGUGCAGCUUUAGUGCAGGAGGUUUUUGUACAGACGCUGAAUGAGGUUGUAUCACUGUGGUGGACUUUUGGUGGAGGAACUCGACUCUCUGUUGGAAGUGAUGCUCGGCCCACCCUCACAGUGUUGCCCCCCUCCACUGUGGAGCUGCAGCAGGGGAAGGCUACACUGGUGUGUUUGGCCAACAAGGGCUACCCGUCAGACUGGACGCUGAGCUGGAAGGUGGACGGUAUCAGCCAGACGUCAGGUGUAAGUGUGAGUGGGGGUGUGCUGGAGAAGGGAAACGGCCUCUACAGCUGGAGCAGCACCCUGAGCCUCACUGAGCAGCAAUGGAAGAACAUACAGGCAGUGAGCUGUGAGGCCAGACAGGGCAGCCAAAGCCCAGUCACCCAGAGCCUGACCACACAGCAGUGCACUGACCUCUGAGAGUGUCCAAUUUACAAAAAGUGUGUUAGGCAUAGACAUCCACUAUCAGUCUUCGCUGUUUUAGUGUAUCUGCUGAUGAGCUCUUCAACAAUUUUCCAGCUCUAUUUCAGUUUUAUUGUUAUCAUCUAAGACUUUUAAUCAGUGUCUGAGUGUUAUGCUUUGCUAUUUACCUGCAAAAUAAAAGCUCUUUAAAAGAA